AACAGGAAGUGAGUAACUGCAGAAAGUUGAGUUAGAGAGGUUUGUUUCUUGUGUAGACAUUACAGAAAUACUUAGAUUUGUGUGUCUGUUUAUCAUUCUUCUGGUUUGUAUCUCAUGCGAGCAGUAGCUGCUUCACUUCCUGAAUAGUGCACUGCAUCAUGAAACUGGAGGUGCCAGAAAGUUUUGAAGAUGUUGCUGUUGAAUUUUCAAGGGAGGAGUGGGAGAUGCUGAGUGAAAAGGAGAAGAAGCUACACCAGGAAGUGAUGGUGCAGAACUUCGAUCACAUGAUAGAUGUCGGGUAUGACAUCCCAG